rnacentral:rRNA from 1 species
UACGUAGGGUGCAAGCGUUGUCCGGAAUUAUUGGGCGUAAAGAGCUCGUAGGCGGUCUGUCGCGUCUGCUGUGAAAACUCAGGGCUUAACCCUGAGCUUGCAGUGGGUACGGGCAGACUAGAGUGCGGUAGGGGAGACUGGAAUUCCUGGUGUAGCGGUGAAAUGCGCAGAUAUCAGGAGGAACACCGGUGGCGAAGGCGGGUCUCUGGGCCGUAACUGACGCUGGAGGAGCGGAAAGCCGUGGGGAGCGAACAGG